ensembl:lincRNA
CAUUCAACUCUGAACCUGUCCAGGCUGGCCCAUGGGAUAGGUGGGGCUGUCUGGCUCUGGGAAGACAUGCUGAGAAGACCAAGCCACCUCUGCUCAAAGGACUUACAGUUCUUGCGUGGGGCUCAUCCCUAUACUACAUGACUUGGUUACUAUUCCUUCUGAGAAUCUGCAGUUGCCUCACAGACUAAACCUCUUGCUAAAACAAGACUUCAGCCUCAAGGCCCCUGGUUCAUUCUCAGCAGAAGUAUCUUCCCACAUCUGCCUUAAAGCCUCCCACAUUCUUGUUACAGCUCCUGGACGUCUAUUCAGGUUCCAGGACUCCUGGGGAAGAGUUGGCAGACUUGGGCCAAAGCCAACAUGAAGAACCAGAAGUAGCAAACACGGACAUUCCCUCAGUGGCUCUUGAGCGAAGGCACUCCCAAGCAUUUGCCUUGGAGACUGGAU